rnacentral:rRNA from 1 species
GUGCAGCAGUCGAGAAACCUCCGCAAUGCGGGAAACCGCGACGGGGGACCCCGAGUGCCGUGGCAACGCCACGGCUUUUCCGGAGUGUAAAAAGCUCCGGGAAUAAGGGCUGGGCAAGGCCGGUGGCAGCCGCCGCGGUAAUACCGGCGGCCCGAGUGGUGGCCGCUAUUAUUGGGCCUAAAGCGUCCGUAGCCGGGCCCGUAAGUCCCUGGCGAAAUCCCACGGCUCAACCGUGGGGCUUGCUGGGGAUACUGCGGGUCUUGGGACCGGGAGAGGCGGGGGGUACCCCUGGGGUAGGGGUGGAAAGUCCUAUAAUCCCAGGGGGACCGCCAGUGGCGAAGGCGCCCCGCUGGAACGGUCCGACGGUGAGGGACGAAGGCCAGGGGAGCGAACC